AUUGAACGCUGGCGGAAUGCUUUACACAUGCAAGUCGAACGGCAGCACGGACUUCGGUCUGGUGGCGAGUGGCGAACGGGUGAGUAAUGUAUCGGAACGUGCCCAGUCGUGGGGGAUAACGUAGUGAAAAUUACGCUAAUACCGCAUACGAUCUAUGGAUGAAAGCGGGGGAUCGCAAGACCUUGCGCGAUUGGAGCGGCCGAUAUCCGAUUAGGUAGUUGGUGGGGUAAAGGCCCACCAAGCCAACGAUCUGUAGCUGGUCUGAGAGGACGACCAGCCACACUGGAACUGAGACACGGUCCAGACUCCUACGGGAGGCAGCAGUGGGGAAUUUUGGACAAUGGGCGAAAGCCUGAUCCAGCCAUUCCGCGUGCAGGAUGAAGGCCCUCGGGUUGUAAACUACUUUUGUACAGAACGAAAAGGUUUCUACUAAUACUAGGAGCUCAUGACGGUACUGUAAGAAUAAGCACCGGCUAACUACGUGCCAGCCGCCGCAGUAA
rnacentral:rRNA from 1 species